rnacentral:rRNA from 1 species
CCUACGGGUGGCAGCAGUAGGGAAUAUUGCUCAAUGGGGGAAACCCUGAAGCAGCAACGCCGCGUGGGGGAUGAAGGUUUUCGGAUUGUAAACUCCUUUUGUUAGAGAAGAUAAUGACGGUAUCUAACGAAUAAGCACCGGCUAACGCCGUGCCAGCAGCCGCGGUAAUACUGAGGGUGCCAGCGGUACUAGGAAUCACUGGGAGUAUAGCGGGCGUAGGCGGGAUAGCAAGGCCGAUGGGAAAUCCUAGGGCUUAACCAUAGAACUGCAGUUGAAACUGUUAUUCUAGAGUAUGGGAGAGGUAGGUGGAAUGCGUGGUGUAGGGGUAAAAUGCGUAGAGAUCAAGAGGAAUACUGAUUGCGAAGGCGACCUGCUAGAACAUAACUGACGCUGAUGCGCGAAAGCGUGGGGAGCAAACAGGAUUAGAUACCCGAGUAGUC